rnacentral:rRNA from 1 species
GACAGAGGAGCCAAGCGUUGUCCGGACUGACUGGGCGUAAAGCGCACGUAGGCGGCUUGGCAAGUCGGAUGUGAAAUCCCUCGGCUCAACCAAGGAAGUGCAUCCGAAACUGCUGAGCUUGAGUACUUAAGAGGAUCGCGGAAUUCCCGGUGUAGAGGUGAAAUUCGUAGAUAUCGGGAGGAACACCAGUGGCGAAGGCGGCGAUCUGGGAAGAUACUGACGCUGAGGUGCGAAAGCGUGGGGAGCAAACAGG